rnacentral:rRNA from 1 species
AGUGAACGCUGGCGGUAGGCCUAACACAUGCAAGUCGAACGGCAACACAGUAAGAUCUUGCUCUUACGGGUGGCGAGUGGCGGACGGGUGAGGAAUACAUCGGAAUCUACUUUUUCGUGGGUGAUAACGUAGGGCAACUUACGCUAAUACCGCAUACGACCUACGGGUGAAAGCAGUGGAUCUUCGGACCUUUCGCGAUUCAAUGAGCCGAUGUCGGAUUAGCUAGUUGGCAGGGUAAAGGCCCACCAAGGCGACGAUGCGUAGCUGCUCUGAGAGGAUGAUCGGCCACACUGGAACUGAGCCACGGUCCAGACUCCUACGGGAGGCAGCAGUAGGGAAUGUUCCGCAAUGGGCGAAAGCCUGACGGAGCAACGCCGCGUGAGUGAUGAAGGUCUUCGGAUCGUAAAACUCUGUUAUUAGGGAAGAACAAAUGUGUAAGUAACUAUGCACGUCUUGACGGUACCUAAUCAGAAAGCCACGGCUAACUACGUG